rnacentral:rRNA from 1 species
AGACGAACCGGGCGAACGUUAUUCGGAAUCACUGGGCUUAAAGCGUGCGUAGGCGGCUUGGCAAGUUGGGUGUGAAAGCCCUCGGCUCAACCGAGGAACUGCGCCCAAAACUGCCAGGCUUGAGGGAGAUAGAGGUGAGUGGAACUAAUGGUGGAGCGGUGAAAUGCUUUGAUAUCAUUAGGAACACCGGUGGCGAAAGCGGCUCACUGGGUCUCUUCUGACGCUGAGGCACGAAAGCUAGGGGAGCGAACGGAAUUAGAAACCCUAGUAGUCC